ensembl:lncRNA
AUAUUUUCACAUGUCACAAAAUAUUACUCUCAUUUGGAUUUUUUUCCCCAGCCAUUGAAGAGGCAUCUGGAGCUUGCAGGAUCUUCAAAAACAGGCACACUUGGAUUUGGUCUGCAAACCUGAUUUUGCCCACCCUUGCUCUAGACCAACAGAGAAAGCACAAUAUGGUAUUUUUCCCAGUUUGAGAGGCUCUCUUCAGUGUAUUUAUUUUGUUUGCUCUGUAUGUUCUUUUUUUCUGCCAUUAACAUCCUCUUUCCUAACAGGAGGCGCUUUGAUUCCCAGAAAAUAGACUUUCAAAGGAUAAACCAGCUUGCUGUUGGGGUUAUUUUCAUCACUCCAAGGGAGGGACCUUAUACGAGAUGGAUUCAACUCAGGAAGCAUGUUCUGGUUUCCGAGAACUUUGGGGUUCAGAUGAUUCCUUUUACACAGCAGAAAAUAAUGCUGUGUACAGUACAUGGACUAGAUUAUUUCGUAAGUAUGUCCAUACUGUGGUCUCUAAAUACCAUUCCCACAAAAAAGAAAGCAGGCUUCUUGGAGGAAAAGCUGAUUCCAGGUCUGGAGCAAGAAAGAUGCAAGAUGAACCGCAACAGCUCAUUAGACUGAACAGCAGGGGAAGUCAUGAUGAGGACUGAGGUUGUGUCUGGAGCGCUCAGGAGCCAACCUGGAGAGGCUCCCACAGGCCAAAGAUGGGACAAAUGGAGCAUCGAGAGGGAGAAUAACUAUGAUGGAUAGAAACACAACAUAUGUUAAAAGAAAUGAGUUCAUAAUAGCAAGCAUAUACUAUCCUCCUUUGGAGUGCCCUAGGGAACCAGUCAUUAUUUUUUUAAAGUGACAGUAGAGGAAAAGAGACAGACACUUACUUUGCCUCUGUCACAUAAACUCCUCUUCUAGUUAAGUGAAGAAAUGAUGAGUUUCUCGUUAUAGGUGUAUUCCAGAAAAUAAAUGAAGAAGGGGUGCUAGAAUCUGGAAGGCAUCGUUUUGCAACAUUGAACAUACCAGUGGAUUUCAGCAAUGAUCAUCAACAGCUGCCAACAUCACAAAAAGAGGGACAACCUGACAUGAAGCGCCUCUUGAAGGAAGUUCACCACACCUCCUAUGAAGUCGUCUUGUCCCCCCCAGCCCCUGGCCAAAAUCAAAUCAAAAUCUGACAGUGCCUCUAAAUCUAGCUACCGGUUUACAGAAGUACAGACAACAGAGGAACAUGUGCAGAGACACCACAGAGACACACUCAGCAAAAUCCAGACGGUGGGGUUUUUGCCAGACUGACAACCCAAUUGAUUCUUCAAAAAUUCAUUUCAAAGGAAAGAAGAAACUGUGACAGAGGCUGAACCUAUAGAUUAAAAGGGACUUAAGAGGGGUGCCCGGGUGGCUCAGCCAUUAAGCAUCUGCCUUCGGCUCAGGUCAUGAUCCCAGGGUUCUGGGAUGGAGCCCCGCAUCGGGCUCCCUGCUCAGUGGGAAGCCUGCUUCUCCCUCUCCCACUCCCCCUGCUUGUGUUCCCUCGCUCUCUGUCAAAUAAAUAAAUAAAAUCUUUAAAAAAAUAAAAUAAAAAAUAGAAGUGACUUAAGAGACAUAUUAACUAAUUAUAAUGUAUGUUCAGGAAAUUUGAACACCAAUUGGUUAUCUGAUGAUAUUAAG